rnacentral:rRNA from 1 species
UACGAGGGGGGCGAGCGUUGUUCGGAAUUAUUGGGCGUAAAGCGUGCGCAGGCGGUUCGUUGUGUCGGCGGUGAAAGCCCCGGGCUCAACCUGGGAAUGGCCGUUGAAACUGGCGAACUGGAGUGUGGCAGAGGGGGGUGGAAUUCCGCGUGUAGCAGUGAAAUGCGUAGAGAUGCGGAGGAACACCGAUGGCGAAGGCAGCCCCCUGGGCUGACACUGACGCUCAGGCACGAAAGCGUGGGGAGCAAACAGG